UACGAAGGGGGCAAGCGUUGUCCGGAAUCAUUGGGCGUAAAGCGCGCGUAGGCGGCCCGGUAAGUCCGUUGUGAAAGUCAAAGGCUCAACCUUUGAAUGCCGAUGGAUACUGCCGGGCUGGAGUCCGGAAGAGGCGAGUGGAAUUCCUGGUGUAGCGGUGGAAUGCGCAGAUAUCAGGAGGAACACCAAUAGCGAAGGCAGCUCGCUGGGACGGUACUGACGCUGAGGCGCGAAAGCGUGGGGAGCGAACAGG
rnacentral:rRNA from 1 species